rnacentral:lncRNA from 1 species
UUGCAGCCUUUGGAGCCAUCCGAAGGCAGUGCCUGCACCUUGUGAUCUCCUCGGCUGAAUGAAUGUGUCAGGCUGGGUGCUUUCAAACCCAGCCCCAGUUCCAACACAGCCCUCCUGUGUGCCUGGGUACCGUUAGAUCCUUCCUCCCUCAGCCUCCCCAUCCCUAUCACAGAUGCAGCUUUUAGCAUGAGGUAGCUUUUUUCCACAGACUCUUUUAUUUUGGUUAAAGAAGAAGGAAGUCUUCACAAAUUAGAAGAGUUGGGAAGAGAAAGACAGGUGAAUCCUGCCUGGGUGCCAUUCUUUCUGUUUCGUUUAAUGUCAGGAAUAAGAAGAAAA